CUUCAGCUGUUCUGGGGAAGGAGUGGGGCCGCUGCCCACGGAGGGAGGGAGGAUGCCGGGCGGGAGUCGCGGGGACCGAGGCCGCGGUUGCUGGACACUGACCCGGAGGACCGAGGCCGGCAGGAGCGAGCGAGGAGCGCGGGAGGGGUUUCCAGUCUAAUGAGGGAGACAUGGCCCUGAUGUCCCAGGAUUCCAAUCUGAUGGAGGAGGCAUGAAUCUGACUUCAGAGGCUCCAGUCUGAUGGGGGAGGCAUAUUCCAGCCUUCCCAGGACCCUAGUCUGAUGGAGGAAGCACAGCCUUGUCAUCGAGGCCCCAGCCUAAUGGGGGAGCCACAGCCCAGCCCCUGGAGGAUUCCGCUCUGUAUGGUGAUCAAAGGUGUAGCCUUGGAACCUUGCAGUUUCAAACCCAGGUCCUGCCCCUCACUUGCUCUCAAGCCCUUGGCCAAAGAGCCUUCCUUCCCCUGGAAAAUGGAACGUGUGCCUGAGGGAGUGGGCAGCGAGCUCUAGUGUGGAGGAAGUUUGGUCCAGUGCUUGGCCCGCAGUAAGAGCGGGCCCUCGUCUUUGUGAAGCCCAGGCUUAGGCAACAGUGGGCUCCAGCAGGAGGAGAGGUCACCUCCAAUCUCAGUCCCUCUGAUGUGCUCCAGCAGCCAGGCAGUCCCUAGGGGAGCUAAUGGAGGAGAUUCUGGAUGAGGCCUGACAGGUCCUGAGAACCAGAUGACAGACAUGGAGCUCAUGGGGAAAGAGGACUGUCAGCAGUGAUGGGGGAAGAGCAGGCUCCAGGGAGCAGGGGUGGGGUGCGGGUUCAGGGGAGAGGGAAGGGCUGGAGUGCAGGAGCAGGCAGGGUCUGCAUAUAUGACACCCCAAAUGUGUUGUCCCUCUGCUCAACCCUGGAAACCCCACAAAGGAAUUGGGGGCCAAGAGCAAACCUGCUCCCAGGUCACAGGGUAGGAGAACAAAGCAUAAAAGCCUGCAGGGAAAAAUAAAGAUUAAAGAAACACUUCCAGUGGUGGUUGGAGGAGCAGGGAGGGGUGGCAGAGGUGGGUCUCCCAGGGCCAGAUGGUGAAAGGGGAGACACCCACUACAAACACUUAAAGAGCACUUGGAUGGCCUUAGGGGUUAGGGACACACUCAUCAACAUGAUACCUACCCUUGCAAAGCUCACUAUUGCUGGGGGAUCUGGCAGGUAGCCACCUGCCGACACCUUAACUGCAGCUGUGACAGGCCCUAAAGCACAGAACCCAGUGGAACCAUGUCAGAUUCCUAUUGCUUUAAGCUGCUAAUUUUGGGGGUAAUCUGUUACACAGCUCUAGAUAACUCACAUAGGGAGAAAUGGGCAAUAAACACACCGCCUAAAGGCACCCCCUCAGAA